UAGGGAUACNCGCUGAACUUAAGCAUAUCAAUAAGCGGAGGAAAAGAAANCAACAGGGAUUGCCUUAGUAACGGCGAGUGAAGCGNCAACAGCUCAAAUUUGAAAUCUGNCCNUACGGUCCGAGUUGUAAUUUGUAGAGGAUGCUUCGAGUGUGGUCCAGUCUAAGUUCCUUGGAACAGGACGUCAUAGAGGGUGAGAAUCCCGUAUGUGACUGGGUGCCUAGGCUCAUGUGAAGCUCCUUCGACGAGUCGAGUUGUUUGGGAAUGCAGCUCAAAAUGGGUGGUAAAUUUCAUCUAAAGCUAAAUACUGGCCGGAGACCGAUAGCGCACAAGUAGAGUGAUCGAAAGAUGAAAAGCACUUUGGAAAGAGAGUUAAACAGUACGUGAAAUUGUUGAAAGGGAAGCGCUUGCAACCAGACUUGCAUGCAGUCGAUCAUCCGAUGUUUUCACCGGUGCACUCGAUUGUAUUCAGGCCAGCAUUGGUUUUGGUGGUUGGAUAAAGGCCUUGGGAAUGUAGCUCCUUUAGGGGAGUGUUAUAGCCCAUGGUGUAAUGCGGCCUACCAGGACCAAGGACCGCGCUUCGGCUAGGAUGCUGGCGUAAUGGUUGUAAGCGACC
rnacentral:rRNA from 1 species